rnacentral:rRNA from 1 species
UCCGUAGGUGAACCUGCGGAAGGAUCAUUACCGUACUUUCGAAAGAAAAAGCAUGAGAGUUGUGAGUAAAAAUGUCUAAAAAUGACUUACUCUCUCAAUAGCUAAAACCUUGCCUGAGUUUGUUUGAAAUGAAACUCUGCGUAAGUUUUCAUAGCUCAUUGUAGCUAUGAGUCUUGGCUCCUUAUUGGGGCUUAAGCUCACAAAAACCAAAUGUUUAAGUUGAAAUAAUAUAAAACAAAAAUUGUAAAAAUCAACCUCGAGUGGUGGAUCACUCGGCUCGUGGGUCGAUGAAGAACGCAGCUAACUGCGUGCAGACGUGUGAACUGCAGGACACAUGAACACCGACGUUUUGAACGCAAAUGGCGGCUUGAAAUAAAUUUCAAGCCACGUCUGGCUGAGGGUCGGAUAUGUACUACAAAUAAAAGUUACUCAUACAACUAAAUGUGUUUAAUGAUUUGGGACACAUGUAUGUAGUUUCAACGCCAAGUCCUAAAACAGCUUGGUUAGAAUGUUAUGUAUAAAAAUGCAUUGCGUGUACUAGAAAUGUACUGUGGUCACGGCCGGCAGGGGGGGACUGGUGUGGUAAAAACAAGGGAACGGUCU